rnacentral:lncRNA from 1 species
CUUGGACCUCUCUAAUUUUUUGCAAUCCGUGGGUGAUGAAGAUCUUGGGCAGAAUAUGCUUCGUCCUCGAACAUGAUAGCUGGUUCUUCUAUACCAUCGGCCAUGCCACAAUCUGAUCGAACAUAUUGAGUCAUCGACCUCAAAUACACACACACGAAAUCUUGGAUGAUGUUGCUGUGAUAUGCGUGUACCACCAUGUGUAAAACAUAACCUGUCUGAAAACAAAUCAACAAAACCAAAUAACCCCUCUUUGGACUGGUUAGUAUAAAAUAAACCAAAAACAAAGGCUUCUUCAUCGUCCUUCUUAUGGACCAAUCCGAUCAGUGUCUAAAACAAGACUUCUGCAUCGUCCAUCUCAGGACUAAAUGGACUUAUCGUCCACCUUUGGACUGAAUGGAUUAGUGUCCAAAACAAGUGAUCUCACGCCCAUGUACUAGAUAAUGGGUGAGACUGAUCCAUAUUAAAUUUCUUGAGUACCCUUUUCUGUAUAUACUGUUUGAUGCAC